rnacentral:rRNA from 1 species
AUUGAACGCUGGCGGCAUGCCUUACACAUGCAAGUCGAACGGCAGGCACGGGAGCAAUCCUGGUGGCGAGUGGCGAACGGUGAGUAAUAUAUCGGAACGUGCCCAGUCGUGGGGGAUAACGUAGCGAAAGCUACGCUAAUACCGCAUACGAUCUAUGGAUGAAAGCGGGGGAUCGCAAGACCUCGCGCGAUUGGAGCGGCCGAUAUCAGAUUAGGUAGUUGGUGAGGUAAAGGCUCACCAAGCCGACGAUCUGUAGCUGGUCUGAGAGGACGACCAGCCACACUGGGACUGAGACACGGCCCAGACUCCUACGGGAGGCAGCAGUGGGGAAUUUUGGACAAUGGGCGCAAGCCUGAUCCAGCAAUGCCGCGUGCAGGAUGAAGGCCUUCGGGUUGUAAACUGCUUUUGUACGGAACGAAACGGUGAGCUCUAAUACAGUUUGCUAAUGACGGUACCGUAAGAAUAAGCACCGGCUAACUACGUG